UGGUUGGAAAUCAUUCGCAGAGUGUAAAGGCACAAGGGAGCUUGACUGCGAGACCUACAAGUCGAGCAGGGACGAAAGUCGGGCUUAGUGAUCCGGUGGUUCCGCAUGGAAGGGCCAUCGCUCAACGGAUAAAAGCUACCCCGGGGAUACCAGGCUUAUCUCCCCCAAGAGUCCACAUCGACGGGGAGGUUUGGCACCUCGAUGUCGGCUCAUCGCAUCCUGGGGCUGUAGUCGGUCCCAAGGGUUGGGCUGUUCGCCCAUUAAAGCGGUACGCGAGCUGGGUUCAGAACGUCGUGAGACAGUUCGGUCCCUAUCCGUCGCGGGCGCAGGAAAUUUGAGAGGAGCUGUCCUUAGUACGAGAGGACCGGGAUGGACGCACCGCUGGUGUACCAGUUGUUCUGCCAAGGGCAUCGCUGGGUAGCUAUGUGCGGACGGGAUAAGUGCUGAAAGCAUCUAAGCAUGAAGCCCCCCUCAAGAUGAGAUUUCCCAUUCCGCAAGGAAGUAAGAUCCCUGAAAGAUGAUCAGGUUGAUAGGUCUGAGGUGGAAGCGUGGUGACACGUGGAGCUGACAGAUACUAAUAGAUCGAGGACUUAACCUA
rnacentral:rRNA from 1 species